CAAUAGCGUAUAUUAAAAUUGUUGCAGUUAAAACGUUCGUAGUUGUAUUUCUGUCAUCUGUCAUAAUGGUCCGCUUCGGCGUGUACCGUUAGUCGGUGGCAUCCGUUUGCGUAAUUCGUUAUGCAAACCGUUCACUUUGAGGAAAUUAGAGUGUUCAAAGCAGGCUCAGCCUUGAAUACUUCAGCAUGGAAUGAUCGAUAGGACUUCCGUUCUAUCUGUUGGUUCUAGGGGCGUGAAGUAAUGAUAAAUAGGGUUGGUCGGGGACAUUCCUACUGAGCAGUCAGGGGUGAAAUCCUGUAAUUUGCUCAUGAGGAACUACUGCGAAAGCAUUUGUCAAGGACGACCCCAUUAA
rnacentral:rRNA from 1 species